CCGCACAAGCAGCGGAGCAUGCGGCUUAAUUCGACGCAACGCGAAGAACCUUACCAAGGCUUGACAUAUACAGGAAUAUGGCAGAGAUGUCAUAGCGGUAAAACGUCUGUAUACAGGUGGUGCAUGGUUGUCGUCAGCUCGUGUCGUGAGAUGUUGGGUUAAGUCCCGCAACGAGCGCAACCCUCGUUCUGUGUUGCCAGCAUUUAGUUGGGGACUCACAGGAGACUGCCGGGGUUAACUCGGAGGAAGGUGGGGAUGACGUCAAAUCAUCAUGCCCCUUAUGUCUUGGGCUGCACGCAUGCUACAAUGGCUGGUACAAAGGGCUGCAAUACUGCAAAGUGGAGCGAAUCCCAAAAAGCCAGUCUCAGUUCGGAUUGGGGUCUGCAACUCGACCCCAUGAAGUCGGAGUUGCUAGUAAUCGUAGAUCAGCAACGCUACGGUGAAUACGUUCCCGGGGCUUGUACACACCGCCCGUCACGUCACGA
rnacentral:rRNA from 1 species